UUGGGGCUGCUGCUUGGGUCGUGCCAAGCUUGGCAUUCCAGGCCAAGGCUGCCCGGCCCCAGCUCUCUCUCGCUGUCUUCACAGCUCUCUUCCUGGGACAGUGGACUUACCAGCUUCUCCGCGGAUUCAAAUGCCGACUUCUGCCCACGGGCCUGAGAGGUACCAGCUCAUCCUGUUCCACCUGGUACAGCCAGGACUUGGGAGUCAUGCUGUCUAGCUCAGCAGCGCCGUCCAUGGUGUUCCUGCUUCAUGCCCAUUCUGACCACGGGGGAGUGCUGUGCGGCUCAGCGAGGCGACAAGCAGGGGCGACGUGAGCCAUGGAGGACAAGACAUCUUUCCCAG